CCUACGGGAGGCAGCAGUGGGGAAUAUUGCACAAUGGGGGAAACCCUGAUGCAGCGACGCCGCGUGAGUGAAGAAGUAUUUCGGUAUGUAAAGCUCUAUCAGCAGGGAAGAAACCCACCCUCCGGGGUGGCUGACGGUACCUGACUAAGAAUCCCCGGCUAACUACGUGCCAGCAGCCGCGGUAAUACGUAGGGGGCAAGCGUUAUCCGGAUUUACUGGGUGUAAGGGGAGCGUAGGUGGCAAGGCAAGUCAGAUGUGAAAACCCGGGGCCCAACCCCGGGAGUGCAUUUGAAACUGUCUGGCUAGAGUGCAGGUGAGGUAGGUGGAAUUCCUAGUGUAGCGGUGAAAUGCAUAGAUAUCAGGAGGAACACCAGUGGCGAAGGCGGCUUACUGGACUGUAACUGACACUGAGGCUCGAAAGCGUGGGGAGCAAACAGGAUUAGAUACCCGGGUAGUC
rnacentral:rRNA from 1 species